rnacentral:rRNA from 1 species
GCAAGUCGAGCGCGAAAGCCUUUCGGGGUGAGUAGAGCGGCGGACGGGUGAGUAACGCGUAGGAAUCUACCUGGUAGUGGGGGACAACCUGGUGAAAACCAGGCUAAUACCGCAUACGCCCCGAGGGGGAAAGCGAGGGAUCUUCGGACCUCGCGCUAUUGGAUGAGCCUGCGUUGGAUUAGCUAGUUGGUGGGGUAAAGGCCUACCAAGGCGACGAUCCAUAGCUGGUCUGAGAGGACGAUC